UCAUGUAAAAAUUAGAAAAUCAUAUAUUACAAAACUAACACAUAAUCCAAUAUCAAUCCUUUUUAAGAGAUUUUUAACAUUGAAAAUAUUUUUUUUGUAACUAUUAGAUAUACUAACUCAAAUUAAUUAUAACUCAAAACUAACGAAAUGAAUAUCAACAUUUAAAAUUUAAAGAAUAUAGUAAUAUCGAUUUCACUUAUCAAUACCGAACAAUUCUUCAUUUUAUUUCAACACACUUGUAAGUUAUUUCCUCUAACUUAAAAGAUA
rnacentral:lncRNA from 1 species